rnacentral:rRNA from 1 species
UACGUAGGGGGCAAGCGUUGUCCGGAAUCAUUGGGCGUAAAGAGCGUGUAGGCGGCCAGAUAAGUCCGCUGUGAAAUCUCGAGGCUCAACUUCGAGCUGUCGGUGGAAACUGUCUGGCUAGAGUCCGGAAGAGGAGAAUGGAAUUCCCGGUGUAGUGGUGAAAUGCGUAGAUAUCGGGAGGAACACCAGUGGCGAAGGCGACUUCCUGGCCUGUUCUUGACGCUGAGGCGCGAAAGCUAGGGGAGCAAACGGG